rnacentral:lncRNA from 1 species
AUGGCCUUAUUACAACUCAAAACCAAACAAUAAUAUUAAUAAGAUAAAACUUAUAAAGAAAUAAAUUGGCUACUUAUUGCAAUUAAAAGAAACAGAAACAGUAGUGUGGCCAUCUCCGAGUCCCUCGCAGCUCCAAACCAUCAAAGCUUAGGGAUUACCUACACAGUUAGAAACGGGGUGAGUUUAUGAAAACUCAGUGUGUAAUCCUAAUAACAAACAAACAGUGAAAACACAGUAUCAGUACAAUCUGGGCCAAAGCCCUAUUUAGUCUUGACACCGAAGCCUUUCAUUUAACGGUUAUUGGCUGAAGCCUUUUCAUAAAUCAUAUCACUGGGCCGAAGCCUUUACUAUAAACGGUAUGGCCCUUAGGCCCAUUUCAAUAUCACAUGAAAUGUCAAUGGAUGUAUGCAAGCCCAUUUCAAUAUCACAUGAAAUACCAAUGAAUGUAUGCAAGCCCAUUUGGGGAGACUACUCGACCCACCAUCCGCUACUCUCCACCCGUACCAACCAACACACCAUGUGGGGAAUAACUCAACCCACCCAACCAACACACCACUGGCAGCAUAGUUGCUUUAUCAUAUAUUUGGAGGCCUAGCCUCUUUAAUAACUGGGGCAAAGCCCUUUUCGGUAAACUGGGGCAAAGCCCUUUUCGGUAAACUGGGGCAUAAGCCCUUUUCAAUAAACUGGGGCAUAAGCCCUUUUGCACUUCCUCCAUGUAAAUCCUAAGCACAUCAGUCAUACGGAACAUAAGGGCAUAUUCGUCAUUUUACUAUACAAGGGUAUUACGGUCACUUUACCCUACAGGGGCUUUACGGUCUUUUUACCUAUUAGGGGUAUUUUAGUUAUUUCAUCCUACAAUGGUGUUUUGGUAAAUCUACAAACCAAGGGUAUUUCAGUAAUUUUGUAAACCAAUGGUAUUUCUAUAAUUUUUAGAAAGUCAAGGGUAUUUCUGUAAUUUUGUAAAUCUGGGGUAUUUUGGUAAUUUUACAAAUUGAGGGUAUUUCGAUAAUUUCACAAACUAGUGGUAUUUUGGUAAUUUUACAAACUAGGGGUAUUUUGGUAAUUUUACAAACUAGGGGUAUUUUGGUAAUUCUAUCCUACAGGGGUAUUUCAGUAAUUUCACAAUCGAGGGUAAAAUGGUAAUUUUUUAAACUGAUGGUAAAACGAUAAUUCUGUAAAUCGAGGGUAAAAUGAUAAUUCUAUAAAUCGAGGGUAAAACUGUAAUUUUGUAAAUCGAGGGUGAAACAAUAAUUCUAUAAAUCGAGGGUAAAAUGGUAAUUCUAUAAAUCGAGGGUAAACUGUAAUUUUGUAAAUUGAGGGUGAAACGGUAAUUCUAUAAAUCGAGGGUAAAAUGGUAAUUCUACAAAUCGAGGGCAUUUCAGUAAUUUGGUAAACUAAAGUAUUCUAAACAAGGAUAACAAUACGAAUGGGCCUAAAGCCUAUUCUCGGCCCAAAUGAGCCCACACACUCGUGUGGCCCUUUUAGCCCAAAUCUAGCCACAGAUAUGAGAUUCACCUAGCCUAGUCUAAUAUUUACUACACAAUCAAACAACUUAUCCAAUUAGGCCCGUAGGCCCAUUGGGCCCACAUGACCCCUUUCGGCCCAUCGCGGCCCGAAGUAGCCAUCCUACAACUAGAGUAGCGAGAAAUACACACCUGAUUGGCAACUGGAGUUAAUCCAAGCUCCGAGCACUCUUAGCCGACGCCCAACCCAAACGAGCACGCCAUACAGCGAA